rnacentral:rRNA from 2 species
ACGGGAGGCAGCAGUGAGGAAUAUUGGUCAAUGGGCGCAGGCCUGAACCAGCCAAGUAGCGUGAAGGAUGACUGCCCUAUGGGUUGUAAACUUCUUUUAUAUGGGAAUAAAGUUUUCCACGUGUGGAAUUUUGUAUGUACCAUAUGAAUAAGGAUCGGCUAACUCCGUGCCAGCAGCCGCGGUAAUACGGAGGAUCCGAGCGUUAUCCGGAUUUAUUGGGUUUAAAGGGAGCGUAGGUGGACAGUUAAGUCAGUUGUGAAAGUUUGCGGCUCAACCGUAAAAUUGCAGUUGAUACUGGCUGUCUUGAGUACAGUAGAGGUGGGCGGAAUUCGUGGUGUAGCGGUGAAAUGCUUAGAUAUCACGAAGAACUCCGAUUGCGAAGGCAGCUCACUGGACUGCAACUGACACUGAUGCUCGAAAGUGUGGGUAUCAAACAGGAUUAGAUACCCUGGUA